GUGUCAGCAGCCGCGGUAAUACGUAGGGGGCAAGCGUUGUCCGGAAUUAUUGGGCGUAAAGAGCGCGUAGGCGGUCCGAUAAGUCGGCUGUGAAAGUCAGGGGCUCAACCCUUGAAAGCCGGCCGAUACUGUCGGACUAGAGUCCGGAAGAGGCAAGUGGAAUUCCCGGUGUAGCGGUGAAAUGCGCAGAUAUCGGGAGGAACACCAAUGGCGAAGGCAGCUUGCUGGGACGGUACUGACGCUGAGGCGCGAAAGCGUGGGGAGCAAACAGGAUUAGAUACCCGCGUAGUCC
rnacentral:rRNA from 1 species